AAUGAACGCUGGCGGCGUGCUUUACACAUGCAAGUUGAGCGAGGCCACCCGCAAGGGUGAGUCGAGCGGCGAACGGGUGAGUAACGCGUGGAUAACCUGCCCUGAGGUGGGGAAUAACCCGGGGAAACUCGGGCUAAUACCGCAUGAUACCAAGCGGUCAAAGGGGGCUCGCAAGAGCUCCUGCCACAGGAGGGGUCCGCGUUCGAUUAGCUAGUUGGUAGGGUAAUGGCCUACCAAGGCGACGAUCGAUAGCCGGCCUGAGAGGGUGAUCGGCCACACUGGAACUGAGACACGGUCCAGACUCCUACGGGAGGCAGCAGUGGGGAAUUUUGCGCAAUGGGCUAACGCCUGACGCAGCAACGCCGCGUGGAGGAUGAAGGUCUUUGGAUUGUAAACUCCUGUCAGC
rnacentral:rRNA from 1 species